rnacentral:lncRNA from 1 species
AGUAUGCCGAUUUCGUACAGAAAAAAUGGGAAGGAUUUUGAUCAUUCCAAAUCAUUCCAGAAGAUCGUAAGACUUUUACCUUUGGAGUCAUUUUGGAAACUUUGAGCUAUUAAUUUAAAGCGAUAGCUAAAGUAGAAAUAAGUUAUGAAACGAAAACAACGUUAAAAGCUUUCUUUGUGCUUUGUUGGCGAUUUCAAUAAAUUUCAUGAAUGAAUAAUGUCGACUUUUGGACUAUGGACUCGUAAAUCUGAUCGUUAAAUCACUAGUACACACUCUAUGCAAACCAUAAGGACUCGAUUUACUCCAUAAAAUAAACUUGAUAUACAGUUGUGGCCAAGAACUGAAUCGAUUUUACCGGCCAACAGAGAAAACGAAACUGUCCUAUAAUUAUGCCGGUCAUGCUGUUAUAUUAAUGCAUGCGCUGCAUUGAAAAAAGACGCCGCACCUUGAAGCAUGUGAUCAGAUUGCCGCCUCUUUUCUUGCACAAAAAUACAAAGAUAAAAAGAGAACACGUACACGCACAUAAAUGUAGUUUAGAAAAUUGUAUAUUGACUCUUCCGAUAUUUCGCUAACAUGUAGAUUAAACAAAAAACGACAACUCAUAUAUUCUACACUUGAAAAUUUAAAUACGCAAGCAUCCCUCGCGAGCUAUUCAAUAUCUAACAUAUAAAUACAAAUUUAUAAAUUCGCCUAGAAAAUGUUAUUUGAAAGCUAGAAACUAAAUAGAAGUCUAAACAGUUAACCUUACGAAGACUUUGAGCACUCCCAUAGUUGUGGAGACCAUCGCCUUCGUCGUACUUUCUGCGUCGGUGUUAACUUGCACUGUCGUAGUUGCUGCAGGCGUCGAACUCUGAGCGUUGCAAACUGCUAUCAGACACAAGACGAAAACAACCAAAACUUUGAUAGACAUUUUUGUUUACUUCUUUUCUCUCUUGACUUGAACGCAAUGAACUGCUCUUCUCACAGGCGUUGUCGAAUGACACUGUUGCCUGAUUUGCAAACUCAUUUGAAGUCUUUGAUCUUUGAAUUCAUUGACCAAUCAGAUGUAAGCCUCCUUGAGUUCGACCAAUCAGAUGCAAGUUUACUUUAUAUCCACCAAUCAGAAGUGGUUAUGCUUCAUAAUCAUAAUACAUGUAUAUUCAAUAUACAGUUCUUUGUUCUACACCCAAUCAGUGCAUGCUUACGUUGUUUUUCCACUGAUCAAUACUGGCCUCCGAGCACUUUUGAUUUCCGCUAAGAGAUGACUAUGCAUGACCAUGACUUAAAUCUACUAAAACUAGGUAUAAAAUAUUUUCCAGAUAAUUCUAGUAUUUAUGUUAUUUUAUAUACGCGAUCAUUAUCUUAAAUAAAAUGCAUGAUAGUGUUUUGAAAGCAUUAAGUUAUAAAACAUUCACAGUAUCACAAUAUACAUAUUCUAAGUUUUCUUUUGAUGAAAUGUUUGACAUACCACCGUAGACAAUUCUUCAGCUUUAAUUAAUGGGGCGUAUACUAUAAAUAAUUUUCAAUACUCAAUGGUGCUUUUGUCACUCUUGCAUGCGAAAUGAGUGUAAAAUUGUUAUCUCGUGACUUGUGCAGUGGUAAACAGUGAAAUGAAG